GACGGAGGGUGCGAGCGUUGUUCGGAAUCACUGGGCGUAAAGAGCGCGUAGGCGGCCGUGCGUGUCGGGUGUGAAAGCCCGGGGCUCAACCCCGGAACGGCACCCGGGAGCUGCCUUCAUGACUGCAAAGCUAGAGGAUGCGAGAGGUUAGCGGAAUUCCGAGUGUAGAGGUGAAAUUCGUAGAUAUUCGGAAGAACACCAGUGGCGAAGGCGGCUAGCUGGCGCAUUUCUGACGCUGAGGUGCGAAAGCGUGGGGAGCAAACAGG
rnacentral:rRNA from 1 species